rnacentral:misc_RNA from 1 species
UACGAAGGGGGCUAGCGUUGCUCGGAAUUACUGGGCGGAAAGCGCACGUAGGUGGAUUGUUAAGUCAGGGGUGAAAUCCCGGAGCUCAACUCCGGAACUGCCUUUGAUACUGGCAAUCUUGAGUCCGGGAGAGGUGAGUGGAGCUGCGAGUGUAGAGGUGAAAUUCGUAGAUAUUCGCAAGAACACCAGUGGCGAAGGCGGCUCACUGGCCCGGUACUGACGCUGAGGUGCGAAAGCGUGGGGAGCAAACAGG